rnacentral:rRNA from 1 species
GAUGAACGCUGGCGGCGUGCCUAAUACAUGCAAGUCGAGCGAACAGACGAGGAGCUUGCUCCUCUGACGUUAGCGGCGGACGGGUGAGUAACACGUGGAUAACCUACCUAUAAGACUGGGAUAACUUCGGGAAACCGGAGCUAAUACCGGAUAAUAUAUUGAACCGCAUGGUUCAAUAGUGAAAGACGGUUUUGCUGUCACUUAUAGAUGGAUCCGCGCCGCAUUAGCUAGUUGGUAAGGUAACGGCUUACCAAGGCGACGAUGCGUAGCCGACCUGAGAGGGUGAUCGGCCACACUGGAACUGAGCCACGUUCCAGACUCCUACGGGAGGCAGCAGUAGGGAAUCUUCCGCAAUGGGCGAAAGCCUGACGGAGCAACGCCGCGUGAGUGAUGAAGGUCUUCGGAUCGUAAAACUCUGUUAUUAGGGAAGAACAAAUGUGUAAGUAACUAUGCACGUCUUGACGGUACCUAAUCAGAAAGCCACGGCUAACUACGUG